UUUAAGAAAAACCUUGACAAAGUCCAGACUGAGUGAGCACAGCCUCGCCAUAGAACAGGGGCAACACAGGAAGACCUGGCUCCCUGUAGAGCAACGGCUGUGCUCUCACUGCAGCCUGACUCACAGGUGAAGACAAGUUAUCUGUCCUACUGGGGAGGACACUAGGACCUGUGAGCUGGUAGCAGUCUAUGUUGCUGCCUGCCAUCAACUGAGGGACAUGGACAUCAACUGAGGGACAGGGACAGCUGUCUGCACCUUGUUGUUGUUUGUUUGUUUGUAAAUUUGUAUCAUUCCUGUUUAUAUCAUUGUUCAAAUUAAUUGAUUGAAAUUAUUUUGUAUUUUAUUUUAUUUAAUCGAUGUUUAUGAAUGUAAUUAUUGUAAAAAAAUUCAUCAUUUGAAUAUGCUUUGGCAACAUGUGCAGUGUUACGUCAUGCCAAUAAAGCCAUUUGAAUUGAA